UAGUGUACAGGGAUUUUACCUUCAUUUAAUUUGUUGACAUGAUAUAUUUAAUAACCGACACGAAUAAAUAUUGCCGAGUAAAAUAAAAAUUCCGGACCAAGGUUACGAAGUAUUUUAAACGCUUGUUUGAAACGUUUUAUACAAGUCCCAAUUGUUGGAAACGAUUUAAGCGUCCAACAGUUAAAUACAUAUAGAUUAACUAGUAUGUUCCGAAAAGUGA